AUAAUGGCACAACUGCAAAAAUGUAAAUUUUAGAGGAGAGUCAUUUUAACAUUUACAGAAUGAUGUUCGUGAGUCGUUUCAACGAGGUCGCAAGGCUGACCUGACUCGCCAUAUGCCACUGUUCGCGAAAACGAUACAGCCUUUCGCUUAUAGCGUCAAGAACAACUGAAGAUGAACCAGUGUCGUAAAACUAAGGCCAGGUCGAUAGCGGCGGAAUUUUCAAAGAUACACGAUAUGUAUGGUACAUUGGUUGGAACAACGGUUUGGGCGAUCCGUCGGCAAAGAAAAAUCGCACUCUGUCCUCGCUUCGUGACGCUUCGAGAGCAUCCAAGCCGUGACCUUAACUAACUGGAAUUAGUGUGGCAACGAGAAAAUUAUCACGGUCGUUUAGCAAUCAUCCUACACGAUCGUUCGAGUUAAUGCGAAAGCCGCGUACGCGAAAAUUAAAUUCUCAAAUGAAAUGCAGUUAUUGUAAUUGAUACGCCGCUGGCGCGUCUCGCCUCUUCGUCGCUUUUCUUUUUUCUUGUAAUAAAU
rnacentral:misc_RNA from 1 species